GAAACACCUUGCCGAUGAUGACUGCCCGUCUAGGCGGGGCCAAAAUCAAUGACAUAAAUCCAGGUCGCCAAGGAUGUGAAAUCACAUUUGUUUGCGAGGAACGCGCUGAAGUCCAGGGAUUGCUGAUAUGUUGCAGGGUCCAAUCAAUUAGCUGCUGAAAAAUGAGUGAUCCUGUCAGAGAAGGAAGGAAAAA